rnacentral:rRNA from 1 species
GUGGACCUACGGGAGGCAGCAGUAGGGAAUUUUCGUCAAUGGGCGCAAGCCUGAACGAGCAAUGCCGCGUGAACGAGGAAGGUCUUCGGAUCGUAAAGUUCUGUUGAAGGGGAAAAGGAGCGGAGAGAGGAAAUGAACUCCGAUUGAUAUUACCCUUCGAGGAAGUCACGGCUAACUACGUGCCAGCAGCCGCGGUAAUACGUAGGUGGCGAGCGUUAUCCGGAAUGAUUGGGCGUAAAGGGUGCGU